CGUGUAGGCGGCUGGGUAAGUCAGAUGUGAAAGUCCCGGGCUCAACUCGGGAAGUGCAUUUGAUACUGCUCAGCUAGAGUAAGGGAGAGGAAAGUGGAAUUCCUGGUGUAGGGGUGAAAUUCGUAGAUAUCAGGAGGAACACCGGUGGCGAAGGCGGCUUUCUGGCCCUAUACUGACGCUGAGACGCGAAAGCGUGGGUAGCAAACAGGAUUAGAUACCCUGGUAGUCC
rnacentral:rRNA from 1 species